AAAAAAAUCUGAAACCCUCUUUCCCUCUAUCUUCCUUCUUUUCCCUCUAUCUUCCCCGAGCUCUAUCUUCCCUCUUUCCCUCUAUCUUCCUUUUUUCCCCCCUCUUUUCCCUCUAUCUUCCCUGAAGCUCUCUUCUCCGAAGCCCUCUUCCUCUCUCUCUCACUACUGUGUUGCCUCUGUAAGGCCCGAACGACCAUCAUCCCAUUGCCGGAGCAGUACACGCGCCAGCCCAAUCGUACCGUCGACCCUCGAAACGUCGAUCCCCGCGAGCUCACCACCACACGCGCUGCCCAGGGCUGUCGACCAACGGUCCGAAGUCGUCCGCCUCUUGUAUUGCUAUAUGUUUGUUGGCUCUUGUAUUUCCAUUUUUAGUUUGAUUAACUUCCAAUCUACAGAGAGAUGCUUUUCCUUCUGACAACAUAAAGUUUUUUGUUUCUUUCUUGUACAACUAAGAAGAGGUGUUGGUUUAUUUCUUCUGACAACAUAAAGUCUUUUGUUUGUAUGGAUUUUAGGUAAGUGAAAAUAAAAGCUUUGAUAACUUCUUUUUGCCACUUUGAAUGCUUUGUUUAUGAUUUUCUUAUAACUCUGGGCUCAACAAAUUAAUCAGUCAUCAAAUAUAUAUAUAUAUAUGUAUUUGUAGUACUUAAAGAAAUAGUAUAUAUAUAUAUGCAUAUCAUGAACUUUUGGUAAUGUAGAGUAUUUUAUUUUUGUGUAUGUACAUAUACAAUAAUUUUUCUUGGAAAAAUGCACAGAGCAAGACCUAUAGAGAAGAGUUUGUUUUGAAUUAUUUUUGGUGAAAAGUAUGUUGGGUCAUUUCCUUACCAGAUUUUCAACACUUGAUUUCUUCUGGAAUUUUCCAACAAUUCUAGAUUUCCAAGAAGAGCAACAGGUGAGCAAGAAGCGAGGAAUAGGUAGUUGACAGAAUGGAACAUUUGGUUUUGGAGCAAGAAAAGCAAUAUCCAUCUGGAGUAAGAUGACAACUUUCAAAUGCACAUGUAUGUUUGCUUUGCUAUGUAACUUGGUAAAUUUGUGUGUUGCAUUUCUAUAGAUUAUCUCUUGUAUAAUAAUCUUUAUUCUCCUAUAAACGUUUAGUAUAAUCGUCUCCCCGCUUUUGUUUAGGAUUCUUUAUCUGAAAUCUGUCUUGUUUUAUCGCUUGAUAUAGAAAAUAACUUAGUGUGGCAAAAGCUAGAAUUUGUCUUUGGUAAGGACUUUCAACACUAGUUUUUAUGAAAUUGCAGUAUUUUUUUUCUAGAGAUGUGACACUCAAAGUUCUUUGGGAUUUAAAUGUUGGUUUGAAAUUAUUUCUUCAUAGCAUGUGGACUGUCUAUAGGUUAAUUAGUAAGGGUGAGUAACUAAAUAUCUCUCAAAACUCCAAUACUAAAUCUAGACAUUAUGCAGAUUGACAUCUAUUUUUAACGUUUUGCACUUAAAUUUCUUUUAUAUUGGAUAUAUGUAAUUGAUCUUUUGAUUAGUACAUUAUAUCUUAAGUUUAAAACAAUCAUUUUUCAAUCUUAAUUCAAAUGAAUUUGUAUUUCUCUUAAUAAUUUAUAUCUAGUUGCACGAGGAUUAAAAUUUAAUCAUUAAAAAAUGUUGAAAUUUGUAAACAAAUACAAGCGUGGCUAGCUCUCUUGAAACAUAUUUCUUAUCCCAAAUUUCCUUGAUGUUUUGGACGUGCUUAUUUUCUAAAGGUAUAUUUUUUUAUAAAUACAAUAUUAUAAUAUUAAUUAUCAACUUGCAAUGGAUUGAUUGAUUCUAAGCAAAUUUUUGAAAAGUUUGAUGAACCUAAUAAUUAAAGAACUUUUUUAUAAUGUGCAUGUCUAUAUUGAGAUGCAUUUCUUUGGCGCAACACCAGACAACAUUGGUAGUUGAAGUUUUUAGAAUCAAAAAUAUAUUUCACUAACUUUGUAUAUAUUUCUUGUUUAACAUUUGGUGAUAAUAGAAUUUGACUGUAGUUUAAGCUAUCAUGUAAUAUGAUUUUGUAAGCCGUGUAGACUAAAUAUUGAAAUUAUAUUUUUGAGUAAUUAAUAAAAAAUUAUUUUGUUGUA